rnacentral:rRNA from 1 species
GCCCUUGGGUCCGAAUUGUAAUUUGUAGAGGAUGAUUUUGGUGCGGUAUCUUCCGAGUUCCUUGGAACAGGACGCCUUAGAGGGUGAGAGCCCCGUACGGUUGAAUGCCUAGCCUCUGUAAAUCUCCUUCGACGAGUCGAGUAGUUUGGGAAUGCUGCUCUAAAUGGGAGGUAAAUUUCUUCUAAAGCUAAAUAUUGGCCAGAGACCGAUAGCGCACAAGUAGAGUGAUCGAAAGAUGAAAAGCACUUUGAAAAGAGGGUUAAAUAGCACGUGAAAUUGUUGAAAGGGAAGGAUUUGUGACCAGACUUUUUCUGGGCGGAUCAUCCGGGGUUCUCUCCGGUGCACUUUGCCCAGUAAAGGCCAGCAUCGGUUUUCGGCGGGGGAUAAAAGCAGUAGGAAUGUGGCUCUCUACGGGGAGUGUUAUAGCCUAUUGUAUAAUACCCUGCUGGGGACCGAGGUACGCGCUUCUGCAAGGAUGCUGGCGUAAUGGUUAUCAAUCACCCGUCUUGAAACACGGACCAAGGAGUCGAACAUUUGUGCGAGUGUUUGGGUGUUAAACCCUCACGCGUAAUGAAAGUGAACGGAGGUGAGAGCCCUUACGGGUGCAUCAUCGACCGAUCCUGAAGUUUUCGGAUGGAUUUGAGCAAGAGCAUAACUGUUCGGACCCGAAAGAUGGUGAACUAUGCGUGGAUAGGGUGAAGCCAGAGGAAACUCUGGUGGAGGCUCGCAGCGGUUCUGACGUGCAAAUCGAUCGUCAAAUCUGCGCAUGGGGGCGAAAGACUAAUCGAACCAUCUAGUAGCUGGUUACCGCCG